rnacentral:ribozyme from 9 species
AAAAAAAAAAACAAAACAAAAAAAAAAAAAAAAAAAAAAAAAAAAAAAAAAUUAAUACAGGGUGACAUACACGACACACAUAUCACCCUCUUACCUUCUCUUCUUUUCUUUCCUUACAGAAAAAAAAAAAAAGGCAAGAAGGCCGAACGCGCACUGCAAGGCCUUUUUUUUUCAUUUUCUUUUCUAUACAUUGCCUCAUCGAAAACGACAAAACAACGCAAAAAAAAAAAGGACCCUCACUCAGCUAAAAGCUAGAAAACUCAUUGAU